rnacentral:tRNA from 1 species
GCCCGGUUAGCUCAAUCGGUAGAGCGUGAGACUCUUAAUCUCAAGGUUGUGGGUUCGACCCCCACAUCGGGCU